rnacentral:lncRNA from 1 species
GGCCGUCUGAUCUUGGAUUUUCAGUUUCCAAGACUGUGAGCUGCAUAAAUCUCUUUUCAUUGUGCAUUAUCCAGCUAUUUCAUCACAGUAACGGGAAAUGAACUAAUACAUAUGGGAAAGAAAUUUUCAUUUCAAGUAUAGACUUUCCCCCGUCUCCAUUAUCUCUCACAAAAUUUGCUUUCUAACUAAGGCAAGGUAACAGAGUGGGGGCUAAAGACUAGAAAGGAGAUGCACUAUUAGGAAUGAUAUCCAAAUGAUAUUUGUGAUCUCAAGGCUGUAUCUUUUGCUUUUGUAAGGAUUGAUUAACUCUGGCUAUGCUGAAGAGUACUUAUUUUCUCUCUCUCUUUUCCUGUCUCUCACAUCACCAGUGGAACCCAAUGAAACAGUGAUUGGCUGAUGAAAUCUAUCAUGACUGCCAGACACAAAGAAAUGGACUUUCCUGGUGCUGGAAUUCAAGAGAAAGACCUCCAGAAAAGGGAGAGGCCCUGCCGACUCCAAGAUGGGAAAGGAAGGCAGGGGUCCAGGACAAGGUAGAGGAAGAGGUAUUGUGAUGCGACUGUGAAAGAUAUGUGGCUUCUUUGAAGGGUGGUGAAAGAAUUCUAGAGUGAGAUUUUGGUGACAGCUGUGCUCUAUGAAGACCACUGAAUCAGGAAGGCGUUUGGCUGGGGCCUGUGGGCCCAAGCUGCUGCAGUCUGGGUGGACCUCAGCUAGGACCUGCCCAUGCCCGCACAGCCCUUGUCCAUGCAGGCUUCUCGCUCG